GCCUGGGUGGCUCAGUUGGUUAAGCAUCUGACUUCAGCUCAGGUUAUGAUCUUGAAGUUCGUGGGUGCGAACCCCGCAUCGGGCU
rnacentral:tRNA from 1 species